UUGCUACCGUCCAGGCAGUAGAUUUGUAGUGCCUCCUCUGGAGCUGUGCUCGGUGCCUGCUAGCAAGGGUGUGCAUUUACAUGAAAGGCUGAAGAUCGCAGGGCUGGAGGGGUAUGCAAAUCACAGCCUCAAUUACAUGUUGUAGGACCAUAGUCUUGUAUAAGAAGCUGGGUUUGUUUAGUAAUAUCUUUUAUUAAACCAGCAAUAUUUGGGAGUGAUGUUAGGCAGGCUUUCGCGCACAAAAAGCCCUUCUCUUCCCCUCUGGGGAGGAGAAAAAAACAAAAAAGACACUGCGUCUACCUGUCCCAGACCUAAAAAAGAGCAUUUUGUGCAUAAAAGCCUGCCUAACUGCUCCCAAACAUGGAGCUGGUUUGAUCAAGGCUGUUUUGUUUGAUUUCUUAGACUGAUACACCGCCCUUCCCAAAUCCCUUGUGCCCCAGUGUCAGUGCAGGGAAGGAAAGUGUGUCUGUGCAGUGCCAGCUCGUGCUCCAGGGGAUGCAGGAGGGGAAGGGGUGUUUUUUCUAGUGACGCCUUUUUUGGGACCAUGGGUGUAGUUUGGAGCAGUGGGUGCAUUCACAGCUGCAAGGAUAAAGCUAAUUUCAGCAGUGAGCAAAGCAGGGAACAGGGAGGGGCUGGUGCUGGGAGCAUUAAGGGCUUGCAGCUGGUCCCUCUAAAGCCAUGUUUCCCAAUCAGGGUGCCUCAACAUCCUCCCAGGGCCGCUGCUCGGAGGUUUUGCAGCAGAAUUCACACGGCGAACAUGGAGAUGUCCAGCAGGAGGCUGCAGCGUUGCGCGCGUCGGGGCCCGCGGUGCUCUGAGCUCUUCUCAAAGGAAGAACAUCGCUAACGUGGAAGAGAGAAGCAGGACGGUGGCGGCUGAGGCUCCCCUGCUUUACCUGUGCCAGGUGUUUGAAAUGCAGCCUAAGCUGGCCCUGGGCUGCCCCCAGACCCUGCUCCAGGAUGGGAUGCCCUGGCCAGCAGACACAGGGAGCAGAAGUGCUACAGAAGGAGGAGGCACUGCAGCCUCCCGCGAGCCUGCUGGGAGGAAGCAGCACGACCAGCCCCUCCGCGGAGGACAUGUCCUGGGGAGUGCGGCAGAGCUCUUAACCGGCUGCGGAGCACGGUGACCUCGGAGGACGGAGCGGGGAAGUCCUGACGAACCGCACAACCGCCUGUCUCGCGUCCGCGGCUGAUGAACAUUUCUGCUCCCAGACUCGUUUCCAAAGGCG